rnacentral:rRNA from 1 species
UCGAGGAUCUUCGGCAAUGGGCGCAAGCCUGACCGAGCGACGCCGCGUGUGGGAUGAAGGCCCUUGGGUUGUAAACCACUGUCAGGGGGGACGAAAUGCGCGCGGGUACUCCCGUGCGUUUGACAGAGCCCCAGAGGAAGCACGGGCUAAGUUCGUGCCAGCAGCCGCGGUAAUACGAACUGUGCAAACGUUAUUCGGAAUCACUGGGCUUAAAGGGUGCGUAGGCGGCUUAUUAAGCAGGGUGUGAAAGCCCCCGGCUCAACCGGGGAAUAGCGCUCUGAACUGAUGAGCUGGAGCGAGGCAGGGGUGCGCGGAACUUCCAGUGGAGCGGUGAAAUGUGUUGAUAUUGGAAGGAACACCGGAGGCGAAAGCGGCGCACUGGGUCUUGUCUGACGCUGAGGCACGAAAGCCAGGGGAGCAAACG